AAAACCUAAGAGCUUAGUUAUAUUUAUAAAGUAAAAAGGUAGUUAGAUAUAUAAUUAUUUUUGUAAUUUUUAUACUUAGGUUAAAUAGAUUAUAUAAAUAUAUGCAUUUUAAGAAAUUGUGGGUGUUUGAGGCUACUAAGAUUAAGAUUUAAACUAGGAUUAGAUACCCUAUUAUACUUAAUUUUAAAUAGAAAUAUACUGGGGUAUUACGAAUAAGUAAAUUUAAAACUCAAAGGGCUUGGCGGUAUUAAUUAGAUUUUUAGGGGAAUUUGUUUCUUAAAUCGAUAAUCCUCGAUGGACCUUACCUUUUAAUGUUGUCAGUUUGUAUACCGUCGUCGUAAAUUAACUUUUAAAAAUUUAUUAGUUAUUUAGAAAAACUUUUGUUUUAUAUGUCAGAUCGAGGUGCAGCUUAUAAAAAGGGGGAAAGGAUGAAUUACAAUUAUAAAUUUAUAGUCGGAUAUAAUUUAUUAAAUUUAUUAUUGAAGGUGGACUUAAAAGUAAAUUAUUUUAGGGAGAUAAUUUGAAUAAGUACUAAGAUGUGC
rnacentral:rRNA from 1 species